UGGAUGCAUUGUUCAGGCAAACUACAGAGCCAGGUCAACAAUGAUGAUGGCAGCCUUCUUCUCCCUCACAGCUCCAUUCGGCAUAAUGCUCGGCAUCCUGACUGCAUCCAGCUAUGACCCGAAGAGCUCCACCGCCCUCAUCGUCGAAGGCGGCUUCGGUGCUGCCUCCGCCGGAAUCCUUAUCUACAUGGCUCUCGUCGACUUCUUGGCUGCUGACUUCAUGAACCCGAGGAUGCAAAGCAGUGGACGGCUUCAGUUGGGAGCUAAUGUCGCCG
rnacentral:misc_RNA from 1 species